CCAGAGUGUCCACCAUGACCCUAACAGUGACACGUACACAGGUCUGAACGUGAGGACCAGUUCAACUGACUACGACACUCUGGCAAGUGUCCAUCCUGACCCUACCAGUGACAUGUGCACAUCUCUGAAGAAGAAUACCAGGUCACCAGAGUGACAUCCAGGCAGUAGAUACUAAGCCACCAUAGAACCUGGACUGAAGAGAACCACCACAGAACCUGGAUUGAAGACAACCACCACAGAACCUUGCAUUAAAAUAAUCUACGCAGAAUCUGGA